rnacentral:antisense_RNA from 1 species
UUUUAUGGCGGCUGCGCGCAGGAGAUCCUCGGAUCUGCUGGGUGUCCUAAACAGUCCCGGUCUUGCACACCUGCGCUCAGCCGCCACCCCA